rnacentral:rRNA from 1 species
GAUGAACGCUGGCGGCGUGCCUAAUACAUGCAAGUCGAGCGAACGGACGAGAAGCUUGCUUCUCUGAUGUUAGCGGCGGACGGGUGAGUAACACGUGGAUAACCUACCUAUAAGACUGGGAUAACUUCGGGAAACCGGAGCUAAUACCGGAUAAUAUUUUGAACCGCAUGGUUCAAAAGUGAAAGACGGUCUUGCUGUCACUUAUAGAUGGAUCCGCGCCGCAUUAGCUAGUUGGUAAGGUAACGGCUUACCAAGGCAACGAUGCAUAGCCGACCUGAGAGGGUGAUCGGCCACACUGGAACUGAGACACGGUCCAGACUCCUACGGGAGGCAGCAGUAGGGAAUCUUCCGCAAUGGGCGAAAGCCUGACGGAGCAACGCCGCGUGAGUGAUGAAGGUCUUCGGAUCGUAAAACUCUGUUAUUAGGGAAGAACAUAUGUGUAAGUAACUGUGCACAUCUUGACGGUACCUAAUCAGAAAGCCACGGCUAAUUACGUGCCAGCAGCCGCGGUAAUACGUAGGUGGCAAGCGUUAUCCGGAAUUAUUGGGCGUAAAGCGCGCGUAGGCGGUUUUUUAAGUCUGAUGUGAAAGCCCACGGCUCAACCGUGGAGGGUCAUUGGAAACUGGAAAACUUGAGUGCAGAAGAGGAAAGUGGAAUUCCAUGUGUAGCGGUGAAAUGCGCAGAGAUAUGGAGGAACACCAGUGGCGAAGGCGACUUUCUGGUCUGUAACUGACGCUGAUGUGCGAAAGCGUGGGGAUCAAACAGGAUUAGAUACCCUGGUAGUCCACGCCGUAAACGAUGAGUGCUAAGUGUUAGGGGGUUUCCGCCCCUUAGUGCUGCAGCUAACGCAUUAAGCACUCCGCCUGGGGAGUACGACCGCAAGGUUGAAACUCAAAGGAAUUGACGGGGACCCGCACAAGCGGUGGAGCAUGUGGUUUAAUUCGAAGCAACGCGAAGAACCUUACCAAAUCUUGACAUCCUUUGACAACUCUAGAGAUAGAGCCUUCCCCUUCGGGGGACAAAGUGACAGGUGGUGCAUGGUUGUCGUCAGCUCGUGUCGUGAGAUGUUGGGUUAAGUCCCGCAACGAGCGCAACCCUUAAGCUUAGUUGCCAUCAUUAAGUUGGGCACUCUAAGUUGACUGCCGGUGACAAACCGGAGGAAGGUGGGGAUGACGUCAAAUCAUCAUGCCCCUUAUGAUUUGGGCUACACACGUGCUACAAUGGACAAUACAAAGGGCAGCGAAACCGCGAGGUCAAGCAAAUCCCAUAAAGUUGUUCUCAGUUCGGAUUGUAGUCUGCAACUCGACUACAUGAAGCUGGAAUCGCUAGUAAUCGUAGAUCAGCAUGCUACGGUGGAUACGUUCCCGGGUCU